rnacentral:rRNA from 1 species
GAUGAACGCUAGCUACAGGCUUAACACAUGCAAGUCGAGGGGCAGCAUUUUAGUUUGCUUGCAAACUAAAGAUGGCGACCGGCGCACGGGUGAGUAACACGUAUCCAACCUGCCGAUAACUCGGGGAUAGCCUUUCGAAAGAAAGAUUAAUAUCCGAUGGUAUAUUAAAACCGCAUGGUUUUACUAUUAAAGAAUUUCGGUUAUCGAUGGGGAUGCGUUCCAUUAGUUUGUUGGCGGGGUAACGGCCCACCAAGACUACGAUGGAUAGGGGCUCUGAGAGGAAGGUCUCCCACAUUGGAACUGAGACACGGUCCAAACUCCUACGGGAGGCAGCAGUGAGGAAUAUUGGUCAAUGGACGAGAGUCUGAACCAGCCAAGUAGCGUGAAGGAUGACUGCCCUAUGGGUUGUAAACUUCUUUUAUAUGGGAAUAAAGUAUUCCACGUGUGGGAUUUUGUAUGUACCAUAUGAAUAAGGAUCGGCUAACUCCGUGCCAGCAGCCGCGGUAAUACGGAGGAUCCGAGCGUUAUCCGGAUUUAUUGGGUUUAAAGGGAGCGUAGGUGGAUUGUUAAGUCAGUUGUGAAAGUUUGCGGCUCAACCGUAAAAUUGCAGUUGAAACUGGCAGUCUUGAGUACAGUAGAGGUGGGCGGAAUUCGUGGUGUAGCGGUGAAAUGCUUAGAUAUCACGAAGAACUCCGAUUGCGAAGGCAGCUCACUAGACUGCAACUGACACUGAUGCUCGAAAGUGUGGGUAUCAAACAGGAUUAGAUACCCUGGUAGUCCACACAGUAAACGAUGAAUACUCGCUGUUUGCGAUAUACAGUAAGCGGCCAAGCGAAAGCAUUAAGUAUUCCACCUGGGGAGUACGCCGGCAACGGUGAAACUCAAAGGAAUUGACGGGGGCCCGCACAAGCGGAGGAACAUGUGGUUUAAUUCGAUGAUACGCGAGGAACCUUACCCGGGCUUAAAUUGCAUUUGAAUAAUCUGGAAACAGGUUAGCCGCAAGGCAAAUGUGAAGGUGCUGCAUGGUUGUCGUCAGCUCGUGCCGUGAGGUGUCGGCUUAAGUGCCAUAACGAGCGCAACCCUUAUCUUUAGUUACUAACAGGUCAUGCUGAGGACUCUAGAGAGACUGCCGUCGUAAGAUGUGAGGAAGGUGGGGAUGACGUCAAAUCAGCACGGCCCUUACGUCCGGGGCUACACACGUGUUACAAUGGGGGGUACAGAAGGCAGCUACCUGGCGACAGGAUGCUAAUCCCAAAAACCUCUCUCAGUUCGGAUCGAAGUCUGCAACCCGACUUCGUGAAGCUGGAUUCGCUAGUAAUCGCGCAUCAGCCAUGGCGCGGUGAAUACGUUCCCGGGCCU